CGGGCUGUAGUAUACCGGUAGUACGCACCGUUCGGGUCGGUGUAGACUGGGUUCGAUUCCCAGCAGCCCGA
rnacentral:tRNA from 1 species